CGGGUGCACUGAUCCAGCCGGGCCUUUCCCUCUGUGGAACCCCAUGGCCUUCACUGGCUGUGGUGGGGAAACAGGACUUUUACUUUGAAAAAAUUAGAGUGCUCCAGGCAGGCCUAUGCUCGAAUACAUUAGCAUGGAAUAAUAGAAUAGGACGUGUGGUUCUAUUUUGUUGGUUUCUAGGACCGCCGUAAUGAUUAAUAGGGACAGUCGGGGGCAUCAGUAUUCAAUUGUCAGAGGUGAAAUUCUUGGAUCUAUUGAAGACUAACUACUGCGAAAGCAUUUGCCAAGGAUGUUUUCAUUGAUAAGGAACGAAAGUUAGGGGACCGAAGACGAUCAGAUACCGUCGUAGUCUUAACUAUAAACUAUGCCGACUAGGGAUCGGACGAUGUUAUUCUUUGACGCGUUCGGCACCUUUCGAGAAAUCAAAGUGCUUGGGCUCCAGGGGGAGUAUGGUCGCAAGGCUGAAACUUAAAGAAAUUGACGGAAGGGCACCACCAGGGGUGGAACCUGCGGCUUAAUUUGACUCAACACGGGGAAACUCACCAGGUCCAGACACAGUGAGGAUUGACAGAUUGAGAGCUCUUUCUUGAUUCUGUGGGUGGUGGUGCAUGGCCGUUCUUAGUUGGUGGAGUGAUUUGUCUGCUUAAUUGCGAUAACGAACGAGACCUUAACCUGCUAAAUAGCCCGUACUGCUUUGGCAGUUCGCCGGCUUCUUAGAGGGACUAUCGG
rnacentral:rRNA from 1 species